GCUUACAGCCAUAUCACGUUGAAAGCAUCGGUUCUCGUCUGAUCACCGAAGUUAAGCAACGUCGAGCCUAGUCAGUACUUUGAUGGGUGACCACUUGGGAAACCUAGGGGCAGAAAGCA
rnacentral:rRNA from 1 species